rnacentral:ncRNA from 1 species
AACGCUAGGGGCGCCGCUUAUGUGCUGAGAUGAUGUUUAAUCAACCCUUUUACCUGAUCAGGUUAAUACCUGCGUAGGGAAGUCGUAUA